rnacentral:rRNA from 1 species
CUUAGAGCCACAAGUGAUUGAGCCAUGCCGCCUAGAAAAGCUUCUAAGCGUUGAUAUCUGAGUGACCGUACCGCAAACCGACACUGGUAGGUGGGUAGAAUAUACCAAGGGGAGCGAGAGAACCCUCGUUAAGGAAUUAGGCAAAUUUCCCCCGUACGUUCGCAAUAAGGGGGGCCUCUGGUGGUGAGCUUAAUCGCAAAGCUGCUGGAGGCCGCAGAGAAAUGGCUCUUCCAACUGUUUAACAAAAACACAGGUCUCUGCUAAGUCGAAAGACGAAGUAUAGGGGCUGACGCCUGCCCAGUGCUGGAAGGUUAAGGGGAGAGGUUAGGCGCAAGCCGAAGCUUUGAGCCGAAGCCCCAGUGAACGGCGGCCGUAACGAUAACGGUCCUAAGGUAGCGAAAUUCCUUGUCGGGUAAGUUCCGACCCGCACGAAUGGCGUAAUGAGAGGAGCACUGUCUCAACGAGGGACUCGGCGAACAUUGAAGGACGUGUGAAGAUACACGUGACCCGCAGCGGGACAAAAAGACCCCGUGAAGCUUUACUACAACUUGCCAUUGAGUUAGGGCUAAACCUGUGUAGUAUAGGUGGGAGGCUUUGAAGCUGGGACGCCAGUCUCGGUGGAGCCACCGUUGAAAUACCACCCUGGUUUAUUCUUGGCUCUAACCUGUCGCCGUUAUCCGGCAUGGGAACAGUGGCUGGUGGGUAGUUUGACUGGGGCGGUCGCCUCCGAAAGCGUAACAGAGGCGCCCAAAGGUUCCCUCAGGCUGAAUGGAAACCAGCCGUUGAGUGUAAAGGCACAAGGGAGCUUGACUGCAAGACCAACAAGUCGCGCAGGGACGAAAGUCGGGCUUAGUGAUCCCACGGUUCAGAGUGGAAUGGCCGUGGCUUACCGGAUAAAAGCUACUCCGGGGAUAACAGGGUAGUCUGGUCCAAGAGUUCAUAUCGACGACCAGGUUCGCCACCUCGAUGUCGGCUCAUCACAUCCUGGGGCUGGAUAAGGUCCCAAGGGUUGGGCUGUUCGCCCAUUAAAGUGGUACGUGAGCUGGGUUCAGACCGUCGUGAGACAGGUCGGUCUCUAUCCGCUGUGGGCGUAAGGGAUUUGAGAGAAGCUGCCCCUAGUACGAGAGGACCGGGGUGGACGGACCUCUAGUGUGCCAGUUGUUCUGCCAAGAGCAUUGCUGGGUAGCUACGUCCGGCAGAGAUAACCGCUGAAAGCAUCUAAGUGGGAAACUCGUCUCAAGAUUAGAUCCCUCAUCCGUAUGGAGUAAGACCGCUAGAAGACUACUAGUUUGAUAGGCGGCAGGUGUAAGCGCAGUAAUGUGUUCAGCUUAGCCGUACUAAUGGUCGAGGGCUUACGUUU